rnacentral:rRNA from 1 species
UACGGAGGGGGCUAGCGUUGUUCGGAAUUACUGGGCGUAAAGCGCACGUAGGCGGCUUUGUAAGUUAGAGGUGAAAGCCCGGGGCUCAACUCCGGAACUGCCUUUAAGACUGCAUCGCUUGAAUCCAGGAGAGGUGAGUGGAAUUCCGAGUGUAGAGGUGAAAUUCGUAGAUAUUCGGAAGAACACCAGUGGCGAAGGCGGCUCACUGGAGCUGGUAUUGACGCUGAGGUGCGAAAGCGUGGGGAGCAAACAGG